rnacentral:lncRNA from 1 species
GGGUUGUUUUACAUGGAAAACCACCAAAUGUUGGCCAGGACCAGUCCGAAACAGCACGGUCAUUAUCGAAAGUAUUGCAAGUCGCCUUGGAUCUAAUUAAGCUCCAGAGCUCUCUAAUUAGAUAAGCAAGAUUUUUAUAGCCCUCAUGCGAUUGCUUAUGGUUGCCAUCCGGGGGUUUCCUACUGAAUUAUGCGGCAGAUUCUAGAUUACAAUAUCUGAAUCUAGUUCACAGGGACAUGGCUUAAACGAGACGAUGAAUUGUACAGGCCAAAGCAGAACGACACAUUUGCUGUCGCUGAUCAAUAGGUAGUUAUCACCGCAACACGUGUUCUGCACGGUCGGUGCAAUGACUUCGAGUGGUUCGACAGGACCAAGCAUCGAAAGGGAAAUUGAAAUGGACUCAAUUGAAUGACACCAAGGGUUAGAAGACUAUCAUGAUGGUGGUGGC